GACGAACGCUGGCGGCGUGCCUAACACAUGCAAGUCGAACGGAAAGGCCCUGCUUUUGUGGGGUUCUCGAUUGGCGAACGCGUGAGUAACACGUGAGUAACCUGCCCUUGUCUUUGGGAUAACUUCACGAAACUGGGGCUAAUACCGGAUAGGAUCUCCUGCUCCAUGGUGGGGGUUGGAAAGUUUCGGCGGUUGGGGAUGGACUCGCGGCUUAUCAGCUUGUUGGUGGGGUAGUGGCUGACCAAGCGUUUGACGGGUAGCCGGCCUGAGAGGGUGACCGGGCACAAUGGGACUGAGAUAGGGCGCAGAGUCGUACGGGAGGCAGCAGUGGGAAAUAUUGCACAAUGGGCGGAAGCGUGAUACAGAGACGCCGCGUGCGGGAUGACGGCCUUCGGGUUGUGAACCGCUUUCGCCUGUGACGAAGCGUGAGUGAUGGUAAUGGGUAAAGAAGCACCGGCUAACUACGUG
rnacentral:rRNA from 1 species